AGCGAACGCUGGCGGCAGGCCUAACACAUGCAAGUCGAACGAACUCUUCGGAGUUAGUGGCGGACGGGUGAGUAACACGUGGGAACGUGCCCUUUGGUACGGAAUAACUCAGGGAAACUUAAGCUAAUACCGUAUGUGCCCUUCGGGGGAAAGAUUUAUCGCCAUUGGAGCGGCCCGCGUCUGAUUAGCUAGUUGGUGAGGUAAAGGCUCACCAAGGCUACGAUCAGUAGCUGGUCUGAGAGGAUGAUCAGCCACAUUGGGACUGAGACACGGCCCAAACUCCUACGGGAAGCAGCAGUGGGGAAUCUUGCGCAAUGGGCGAAAGCCUGACGCAGCCAUGCCGCGUGAAUGAUGAAGGUCUUAGGAUUGUAAAAUUCUUUCACCGGGGACGAUAAUGACGGUACCCGGAGAAGAAGCCCCGGCUAACUUCGUG
rnacentral:rRNA from 1 species